rnacentral:rRNA from 1 species
AGUCGGGAAUAUUGCACAAUGGAGGAAACUCUGAUGCAGUGACACCGCGUAUAGGAAGAAGGUCUUAGGAUUGUAAGCUAUUGUCGUGUGAGAAGAAAAUGACCAUCACAGGAGGAAGCCCUGGCUAAAUAUGUGCCAGCAGCCGCGGUAAUACAUAUGGGGCGAGCGUUAUCCGGAUUUAUUGGGUGUAAAGGGUGCGUAGGCGGGAAAAUAAGUCAGUAUGUGAAAUCCCUCGGCUCAACUGAGGAACUGCAACUGAAACUAUUUUUCUUGAGUGUUGAAGGGGAAAGUGGAAUUCCUAGUGUAGCGGUGAAAUGCGUAGAGAUUAGGAGGAACACCAGUGGCGAAGGCGACUUUCUGGGCAACAACUGACGCUGAGGCACGAAAGUGUGGGGAGCAAACAGGAUUAGAUACCCUGGUAGUCCACACCGUAAACGAUGGAUACUAGGAGUUGGCAAAAAUAUUGUCGGUUCCGCAGUUAACGCAUUAAGUAUCCCACCUGGGGAGUACGACCGCAAGGUUAAAACUCAAAGGAAUUGACGGGGGCCCGCACAAGCAGUGGAGUAUGUGGUUUAAUUCGAAGCAACGCGAAGAACCUUACCAGGGCUUGACAUAUACAGGAAUAUAUAAGAGAUUAUAUAGCUCUACGGAGUCUGUAUACAGGUGGUGCAUGGUUGUCGUCAGCUCGUGUCGUGAGAUGUUGGGUUAAGUCCCGUAACGAGCGCAACCCCUAUGGCUAGUUGCUAACAUUAAGUUGAGGACUCUAGCAAGACUGCCGUUGUUAAAACGGAGGAAGGUGGGGACGACGUCAAAUCAUCAUGCCCUUUAUGUCCUGGGCUACACACGUACUACAAUGGGUAAGACAGAGGGAAGCGAAAGUGCGAACUGGAGCAAAACCCUAAACUUAUUCUCAGUUCGGAUUGGAGUCUGAAAUUCGGCUCCAUGAAGCUGGAAUUGCUAGUAAUGGCAGGUCAGCAUACUGCCGUGAAUACGUUCCCGGGCCUUGUACACACCGCCCGUCACACCAUGAGAGUUGGGAAUACCCGAAGCCUGUGAGCUAACUUUUAAAGAGGCAGCAGUCGAAGGUAGAAUCAAUGAUUGGGGUGAAGUCGUAACAAGGUAGCCGUAUCGGAAGGUGC